AAUGAACGUUGGCGGCGUGGAUUAGGCAUGCAAGUCGAACGGGCCGCAAGGCCAGUGGCGGAAGGGUGAGUAAUGCGACGGUAACCAACCCCGGAAAUGGGUAUAGCCGCGGGAAACUGCGGGUAAUCCCCAGCGACGUGUCGGGUCGGCAUCGACCUGACACCAAAGCUCCGGCGUUCCGGGACGGGCCGUGGUGGUAUUAGCUAGUUGGCGGGGUAACGGCCCACCGAGGCUGCGAUGCCUACCGGGCGUGCGAGCGUGGCCCGGCACACUGGGACUGAGACACUGCCCAGACUCCUACGGGAGGCUGCAGUCGAGAAUCUUCGGCAAUGGGCGCAAGCCUGACCGAGCGACGCCGCGUGGAGGACGAAGGCCUUCGGGUUGUAAACUCCUGUCGAGGGGGAGGAAGGCGCAAGCUUGACCGAUCCCUGGAGGAAGCACGGGCUAAGUUCGUGCCAGCAGCCGCCGUAAAAC
rnacentral:rRNA from 1 species